CCCGGGAGGCAGCAGUGAGGAAUAUUGGUCAAUGGGCGGAAGCCUGAACCAGCCAAGUAGCGUGAGGGAUGAAGGUACAGAGUAUCGUAAACCUCUUUUGUCAGGGAACAAAGGCGGGGACGUGUCCCCGGAUGAGUGUACCUGAAGAAAAAGCAUCGGCUAACUCCGUGCCAGCAGCCGCGGUAAUACGGAGGAUGCGAGCGUUAUCCGGAUUUAUUGGGUUUAAAGGGUGCGCAGGCGGUCUGUUAAGUCAGCGGUCAAAGCCCGGGGCUCAACCCCGGCCCGCCGUUGAAACUGGCAGUCGCGAGUUGGAGAGAAGUAUGCGGAAUGCGCGGUGUAGCGGUGAAAUGCAUAGAUAUCGCGCAGAACUCCGAUUGCGAAGGCAGCAUGCCGGCUCCACACUGACGCUGAGGCACGAAAGCGUGGGUAUCGAACAGGAUUAGAUACCCCUGUAGUC
rnacentral:rRNA from 1 species